GUCUCAAUAGCUUAAGGGUAAAGCCAUACACUGUUAAUGUAUCUAUCCUAGUUCGAGUCUAGGUUGAGACG
rnacentral:tRNA from 1 species